rnacentral:rRNA from 1 species
UGGGGAAUUUUGGACAAUGGGGGCAACCCUGAUCCAGCAAUGCCGCGUGAGUGAAGAAGGCCUUCGGGUUGUAAAGCUCUUUUGUCAGGGAAGAAACGGUAGUAGCGAAUAACUAUUACAAAUGACGGUACCUGAAGAAUAAGCACCGGCUAACUACGUGCCAGCAGCCGCGGUAAUACGUAGGGUGCAAGCGUUAAUCGGAAUUACUGGGCGUAAAGCGUGCGCAGGCGGUUGUGUAAGUCAGAUGUGAAAUCCCCGGGCUCAACCUGGGAAUUGCAUUUGAGACUGCACGGCUAGAGUGUGUCAGAGGGGGGUAGAAUUCCACGUGUAGCAGUGAAAUGCGUAGAUAUGUGGAGGAAUACCGAUGGCGAAGGCAGCCCCCUGGGAUAACACUGACGCUCAUGCACGAAAGCGUGGGGAGCAAACAGGAUUAGAUACCCCCGUAGUCCCUGAGCGGGCUGGCAAGGCGCAU